rnacentral:rRNA from 1 species
CCUACGGGAGGCAGCAGUGGGGAAUAUUGCGCAAUGGGCGAAAGCCUGACGCAGCGACGCCGCGUGAGGGAUGAAGGUCUUCGGAUCGUAAACCUCUGUCAGCAGGGAAGAACGGUCACUGUGCUAAUCAGCAGUGAAUUGACGGUACCUGCAAAGGAAGCACCGGCUAACUCCGUGCCAGCAGCCGCGGUAAUACGGAGGGUGCGAGCGUUAAUCGGAGUUACUGGGCGUAAAGCGCUCGUAGGCGGUAUGUCAAGUCAAGGGUGAAAUCCCCGCGCUCAACGUGGGAACUGCCUUUGAAACUGGCAGACUGGAGAGUGUGAGAGGAUGGUGGAAUGCCAGGUGUAGGAGUGAAAUCCGUAGAUAUCUGGAGGAACAUCAGUGGCGAAGGCGACUAUCUGGCACAUAACUGACGCUGAGGAGCGAAAGCGUGGGUAGCAAACAGGAUUAGAUACCCGUGUAGUC